rnacentral:rRNA from 1 species
CGGGACCUAAGCCGAGGCCGAUAGGCGUAGGCGAUGGACAACAGGUUGAUAUUCCUGUACCAGUUGUUUUUGUUUGAGCAAUGGAGGGACGCAGUAGGCUAAGGAAUGCAUGCGAUUGGAAGUGCAUGUCCAAGCAAUGAGUCUUGAGUAGAGUUAAAUGCUUUACUCUUUAAGGACAAGUUGUGACGGGGAGCGAAAUAAUAGUAGCGAAGUUCCUGAUGUCACACUGCCAAGAAAAGCUUCUAGU